UAACAAUUUUUAUAAAAAUUCGACAGUUUAUCUUAAUGAUAUCUUGUUUAUAUCACUCGAGGCUUUAUUAAUAAAGAAUAAAUCGUUUAAGAGAUAUUCUGAACCUUACUCAUAGAAUUGCCUCCACUGUUAGGAAUUUGUCGAAAAAUUGAGGGAUAAUAGAGAACUACCGUUUUAUCAGUUUGCAACGCGAUGUUCUAUUUUUGACAACUUGAUUUUUGUAGUGGAUUUUUUGACAGCAACAAUAUGUAUAUGGUUCGGACAAUUUUUGAUAAUAAUAAUAAUUGUAUUAUUCAAGUGAAAGAACAGACGUGAAUUCAAGUGGGAAAAAUCGUAAGAAAUUUCGUGCUGAUUAGUUAGAAAUACAGAAUUCAUAAUUAUUUGUUUUGGAAGAAAAUAAGAUCACAUCGUAAUAAAAGGCAAUCUAAACUUUCUGUAAAAAAAAUAUACAUCUCGCCAGCUACGUCACCGCCCGCUGUUCAAUGUACCUCACCACCAUAAUAACAGGUCAUUUAUCAGCAUAAGAUCUGGUCUUCCUAGAUCCAUUGGCCCUACACAAUGGUGCAUACACUUAACCAAUAGUCAACGAAUAAAACAACACAUUGAAGUUGAACGAAGAGCAAACUUAAUACUCAUCUAAAAUGUUAUCAUAUUGUUUGAUUUCCUCUAUCUAAUGUGAUUGACGCGAUGGGAAAAAUAAUAUUUUCCAUUCUAUCGAAGUUUACUUGUGGGAGUAUAAUUUAUAUAUAUUUUAUAGAGUAUUUUUAGUACAUAAAAUAUAUAAACGGAAUAAUAAGCAUAUGUGCGUCAUACAGAUAAUAACUUAUUGAAUUCUAAAAAUCUUGAUUUGUUUAUACAUGUGUAGAAAAAUCUACAUUAACUUGGUAUUCAUAACAACAGAAAACAAAUACAUUGAAUGGAAUCAAGGCUAGCAGUGUUACAUUAGUGGAAUUUUCCUCUCAUUUCAAACAUAAAUUUGGCUGUUACACCAAGAUGGACUACUUGACUGAUUACGUCCAAGUAGAUGCGAAUAGCACAUGCAGUAAAUUUGUACUACAUUGUUAAAAUAAAUAAUAAGCAAUUAUAUGUGUAUUUGUAUAUAAGUAACUGACAAAACAAAGCUUCAAAUAAAUAUAGUGAAUAAAUAUUGCCGUAGUGUGUGAUGUUGAGAGUCAUUGAACAAGGCAGCAAGAGAUUUGAAAGAGUGUAAAAGAGCAUUUGAAUUGUUUCCCAAUACGAAUACCUACUUCGCAGAUAAGAGCAAACACUUAUAGAACGACGAAUAUUGUUGGGAUCAAAAUCGCUAUCAUUGUUUGAGUGUACAGACGAGGUGUAUGUCAUGGAAAAGAUAUUAUAUGUGGCCGCACAGCUUAAAGUUGGAUCGGUUGUUAUCAUCAAAGUUUUCGAACUAUCUGGUAGUGAAAGAUCACGGCUUAACCAUUGUUAGGCUUUAUAGUUAACGCAAAUCAAUCGUUUAUGUUUAAAAUUUUCAAAGUAAUAAGUAUUGGUUAUUUGUGACCUGUGAUCACAGAGCGCAUUUAUAACACGUUUUUUUUUUAUCAAUUUAAUAGUAAAUGGAUGAAGUUCAUUCAAAUGAAAUAAAAAAAUUGAAUUAAAAGAACUUGAAUAGAAGUAUAAAUAAUUUUUCGUAUUGGACACGCGUAAAUCAAUGUGAGUUCGCGCCGUAGAUAAGAAGACACAAUGAUGUUAAAUAAAUAUCAGAAUUAUUUGCAACAA
rnacentral:lncRNA from 1 species